rnacentral:rRNA from 1 species
UGCACGGCGCGCAUGGCCUCUCGAGGAAUGGCGGAGUGGCGGACGGGUGAGGAACGCGUAAGGACCUGCCCCUGGGAGGGGGAUAACAGCUGGAAACGGCUGCUAAUACCCCAUAUCCUGAGGAGGGAAAGGAGAGAUCCGCCCAGGGAGGGGCUUGCGUCUGAUUAGCUAGUUGGGGGGGUAAUGGCCUCCCAAGGCAACGAUCAGUUGCUGGUCUGAGAGGAUGAUCAGCCACACUGGGACUGAGACACGGCCCAGACUCCUACGGGAGGCAGCACUGAGGAAUCUUCCGCAAUGGGCGAAAGCCUGACGGGGCAAUGCCGCGUGGAGGAUGAAGGUCCAAUGGGUCGUAAACUUCUUUAGAUCAGAGACGAAGAGAUGACGGUACCUGAAGAACUAAGCAUCGGCUAAACCCCGUGCCAGCAGCCGCGGUAAGACGGGGGAUGCGAGCGUUAUCCGGAAUGAUUGGGCGUAAAGGGUCCGCAGGUGGCCCGGUCAGUCCGCUGUCAAAACCUGGGGCUCAACCCUGGAGAGGCGGCGGAGACCACCGGGCUUGAGUCCGGUAGGGGCAGAGGGAAUUCCCGGUGGAGCGGUGAAAUGCGUAGAGAUCGGGAAGAACGCCAAGGGCGAAGGCACUCUGCUAGGCCUGAUUUCGCGACUGACACUCAGGGACGAGAGCCAGGGGAGCGAAUGGGAUUAGAUACCCCAGUAGUCCUGGCCGUAAACGAUGGAUACCAAGCCCUGCGCGUAUCGACCCGGGCAGGGCUGUAGCUAACGCA